rnacentral:rRNA from 1 species
UACGGAGGAUGCAAGCGUUAUCCGGAUUUAUUGGGCGUAAAGCGUCCGCAGGUGGUUUUCCAAGUCUGCUGUUAAAGCGCGAGGCUUAACCUCGUACAGGCAGUGGAAACUGGAUGACUAGAGUAUGGUAGGGGUAGCGGGAAUUCCCGGUGUAGUGGUGAAAUGCGUAGAUAUCGGGAGGAACACCAGUGGCGAAGGCGACUUCCUGGCCUGUUCUUGACGCUGAGGCGCGAAAGCUAGGGGAGCAAACGGG